rnacentral:rRNA from 1 species
GACGGAGGGGGCGAGCGUUGUUCGGAAUUAUUGGGCGUAAAGGGCGCGUAGGCGGAUCGGCGUGUCUGGCGUGAAAUCUCCACUACUCAACAGGGAGAGGUCGCUGGAAACUACCGAUCUGGAGUUCGGCAGAGGGCCAUGGAAUUCCGGGUGUAGCGGUGGAAUGCGUAGAUAUCCGGAAGAACACCGGUGGCGAAGGCGGUGGCCUGGGCCGAAACUGACGCUGAGGCGCGAAAGCCAGGGGAGCAAACGGG